rnacentral:lncRNA from 1 species
GGAGAGUCGGUAAGCUGGAGUCGAUGCCCACCUGUUAGUCACAUCGUUGUGUCAAGCACGACUCCCGGGGCUAAAACAGCAUGCCACAUGGGCCUCCUGAGACUGUGCUUCUUCCCGUUACACAGGAGGACAUGUCGAAGCGAGUGAAAGGGGUGAUAGUUACAUCUCACAUUUCGGCGACAUUAUAGAGCAGCAUUAGUCGCAGAUGCAGUCACUCCAGUCUGCAAGGCAAACCCUUCGUUGCAUGGACAUGUGUAUACCCCAGAGGAGGCAGUCUCAUGCGGGACAGAGAACAGUCAAAAUCAUUAAUUGGACGCUGCACCCUGGUUGCCAGAAUCGCGCAUACUCUUGAUAAGCAAUUCGCUCAGGAGGACCAACGUUUCUUCCUAAGCUUCAUCCUGUAGAACGGCAUACUAAACGCAUGAGUUCCGCUUCCUUGCGCUAACCCUGCUCUCGAAACUUCUGUGGCAAACACGCAACCUAAAAUUAGUUUUUUCAUGCGUGACACUCAAACAUUACUGUCGUAUCUCUGAACGUGUUUGUGUGUUGGAGCGACGCUUGUUGCCGGUGCUUCCUUUUUGUUACAAGAAACCGCACGUAAGCUGAAGUUGCCUGUGUCGACACCGCAAUAUUCUCGGCAUUUGUUCCUCUCACAAUCAAAUGAUGUUAUCCUUGUGCUUCUGUCACCCGAGUUCGCUUAGCCUGGCCGUAGACAUGCAGGAGAAUCCUUGGUCAUUCGUACCAGACUACGUGAUGGCGCUGGAACGGCUCUUACGAAAGGCGUAAUAAGAACCCUCUUUUCGAAGGCAGCACUAUUUGAGCGUGACUGCUUAAAAUCUAGAGUAGAGGGAGGGGGGGUCAUGGAAAAACGUUCCGCAUGCUCCUCUGUUAACCUGUAUGUUUCGACUCGUGCAGAAGGGCACGAGAUUCUUUCUGUAUAGCCGGAGCUGCUAAGGUUGUUUUUCGCCAGUAGCUCAUGAUGCAUAAAUGGUUUCGGUGUGAAGAAACGGCAGCACGCGGGAGCAGCAUGGGUGUGAAUAAAGACAUCCAUAAAGGUGCUGAUUGUAAAUGUCGUUUUUUUAUAUACUUAGAUUUCACUUGACACAGUCACAGAAGCGGGGUUACAGUACUCUUUCAUUUGAUCGCGUACGCACCAAAAUAAAUAUCUUUCAGGCUGGCAGCAGUAAGUGGUCGUCCCUACGACCGACCUACGCCCCAGAGUUCGACCAUAUGAAACCUGCCAAGUUAAGUUGGUCAUCGUCGCAUUCUGUGGCCCGUGGCGUGCACGAACGCUUUAUUGACCUUCUCCUGUGCAAACCAGGAGUCUCGGGCAGACACGGGGGUCGCUUUCUGAGAAGACACCCACGGUGAGUUCUGUUUUGCCGUUGCCACAGACUAAUCGGUAUACGGCAGAUAGCUCCUUGCUUGUGUACAUCGAAGUCUUUUUCCACGGUCCGGCCUUCUUUUUUCCUAGCCCUCACUGAGUGUCCCAGGGUAGCGCACGGAUGGGCUCGGGGGUGGCAUUGACUCACUUGUAUGGUUUCACUGUUGCCUCCUGAUUUUUGCCAAUUCCCUCGUUUCCGUACGGACCUGGCCGCGAAACCACCACUGUGGUGAGCCGUUGAGCGGGGACCCCAUACGCCAACGCCAGUUGGGAGAGUGCACUGGCAGUUGCUUGAAACCGCUACUGUCCCUCCCACCGGCGUUAGCUGGUACAAGCGAGCUGCUUGUUUUCUGUGUUCCUCGUCGCACAGGAGACCACUGCCGUUUUCGCAGCCGUACGUCGGUUGGGGAGAUUUGUUCUGUGAUCGAGUUGAGCCUCAUGCGAGCGACUCCGCUACAACUUCACGCGCAGUAACUCGUAGUCAGUGGACCGCGUGAACGUGGAGAUCAGGGUACUCAGUGCGAUAUUACAGUACAGAAUUCAACCCUGCGGCUGAUUCAGGUUUUCGCUGAAACAGAGAGACUCUAUUUCGUCACUAUAGGCGGACACCAUAUGCGGUUCGAGCUGGACUUCCUUUGGUGUCAGGGAACCUACGGGACUACGUGAAGCAAUUAUUUGUGUAUUUACCCGCUUGCGUUGAAACAAAUGCUUGCACCUGUCAUGAAAGACUUCGUUUAACUGGCGACAUUGUCCCUCACAGGAUCCCGUCUGUCAUUUGAAUCAUUCUAUGCAGAAGAUUCUGCAAGUACGUGUCUUACGACUGUUCUGAAUGCAACGCAGUGUAACCAGACCAUGAGGAAGAAGGUUGCAGGUUCGUAGUUUCCUGGGUACGAAAUUCCAGUGGACUUGCGUUGGCGUGCGUCCAUGUCUCGCCCGGAUAAUGCGCCACUCUAACGCUGAAGAGAGACAGCAAUUUGGUACUGCAACGCACAGUGCGCGACUUUGACGCGAUUUUCGCUUUUCAGUGAAUAGUUACGUAUAAUAGCUUUGGAUCGACAGCUGAGGAUGCUGCGACGUGGUGUAGUGAGUCACGCUUUGCUCUCUGCAGCUUCGGAGAUAAAUAAAAGAGAAUAGUCUCUUGUUGUGCUGGUGACGCACCUCUAUGAGAACGGUGAAAUGCUUGCACGAGAGACGCGUUUAGCUCGCCGUUAUGAUCUUGCGAGUGUGCAACGGAUAGUAUGUGGCAACGCUUGGCCAAGAACGUGCUUUCCGGUUGCCUGUUUUCUUGCUGUCCAGCCGAUACUGUCAAGGAAAUCGGACGGUUGUGGCUUUCCUGCUGCUCUCUCUGAACGGGACGCGAUUCGCACAGCAAGUCCGCUUGGGCUGUUUUACAAUAGGAUCUGUUCCUUAUCUUGCGUACAUCAUAGCUCCACGGAUGAAUGGGAGUUCUGGUGGAGACGUUGAAAGCAUGUGUCGGGGACAAAGAACAUAAGCAAAGGAGUUACUCCAGGUGUGCUUGUGCUGUUCGCGUGCCUGGCACUGAACUCACGAGUGCAUCCAGGCUGGUGCAAGAGAACUAUUCAACUCCUUGGACUGUCGCGCAUUACUUGCAACCUUCAGUUCGCGAUUGGGUGAUUCCUGUGAACCUGUUGUAGUUCUUAUGUAGGCGACGAUGUUACAUCCCGUGUUGUUGAAAUAACACUUGCGUGCAUCCAACCAUACACGAGCUACAGAAGGGUCACUGACAUUUGACGCGGUUUCGAUGUGAAAUUCUCAGAACCAAAAUAAGAAGUCGUCAGUGAGUGGAUGGUCAUUUUAUGCGAGGCUUCAUGUUUAAUUUUAACCUUUUGCUUAAAAACCAAAACUUAUCGGUUUCCUCUUCAACAGGCAAAUUGUUAGGUUCAUAUACCCUUCUAUUGUUAGGAUUAAAAUUUCAGUCUCUUUUCACUCUCCUUCCGGGGUCUCUGCUCUGGGUCCGCUAAUAGAGCUUGCCGUCAGUUUUGUCUAUCCGUUAGGUACGAAAGCGUUCCAGUAGUCUCCGGACACGCAUCUUUGCUGAAUGUUGACAGCGGCAUCCUUGCUCUGUGUGUGUCUCCUGUCGCUUCAGUUUUGGACACAGAACGUACGUCGAAUUUUUAUUUGUCACCUCGCUGACCUUGCAAGGGCCGUUCCCCUCAGCGCUCCAGUGUCCAACAGUCUGCGUAGCUCAGUUUGCUGCGUCGAUGUGCCCAAGUGAAAAGCUGCUCCUGGUAUGCAUCAAUACGACAGACGCUGACGGGAGCCCUUCGCUUGAUGGAGCAGACGCGCCCUAUUGAAAUCCAGGUGUGCGAAUUCAGCAUAAAUAGUGUUUCACAGCCUGCCGGCUUGGUCUCAGUGUGGCGUUGCAUCACCGACCGCGAUAAAUGCUGAACAGUAAAGCCCGAGUGAUGCAGAAGGUCACAGCUUAUCAUCUGUCCGAAUGCUGCAUAUUGAACAGCUUAUUAGCAGUCUGCCCGCGCGCCUACCUGUAUCAAACGGUGAACGGACUGGCAACGUCACUUGCACGUUCUGAACUGUUGGCCCGGUCCGGUAGCCGUACAGUCGUUUCAUUGCUUCGCUGUAUCUGGUGCCGCCGCUCUUUUCAAGCGUGGCAGUGCAUGCCAGAAGAAACAGACAUUUCACGUUGGGGCUGUGGCUGCCUGAGCAGCCCUUUUGUCGUAUCAUUCAUUUCUCUGCAGCUCUCCUCCAUGUGGGAGGCGUGUUGUCUCAUCAAUUCCUUCUUUUGGUUUUAUCUGCACGCAAACCGUAAGUUCCUGUUUGCGAUAGCAGCCGCCACAGCUCUUGUCGUGAGUUCUGGCACAAGAGAGUGGAGCUACACAGUCGGUUCCGUCAGACUAUUUAGGGCCUCAUGCUCCUCUUCCUCCUGGCAGCGGAGUUAUCUGCCAGGUGUGGUCGAUCUGCGUCGGUCACCCAUAUCUGUUUAUGUACUCACCUGCUUUACACACGCUCAUGCAGGUUACAAGAACUAUCUUGCUCAAUUUAGGCAGUGGAUUGUUGUCAUAGUCAAAUUUACAGUUGGGGAGAGCCGUCUGUCACUAACAGUGAUAAUCAAAGUCGGUGGGCAUGUGGUUCUCCUUCGUGUGUGUCUGCUGUGUCCUACAGAGAGUUGCCGCUGCU